rnacentral:rRNA from 1 species
ACGGGUGAGUAACAGGUGGGCAACCUGCCCUCAUGUCUGGGAUAACUCCAAGAAAUUGGUGCUAAUAACCGAUGUGACCGCUGACCGCAUGGUCUGGUGGUGGAAAGAUUCAUCGGCUGAGGAUGGGCCCGCGGCCUAUCAGCUUGGUGGUGGGGUAAUGGCCCACCAAGGCGACGACCGGUAGCCGGCCUGAGAGGGUGACCGGCCACACUGGGACUGAGACACGGCCCAGACCUCUACCGGAGGCAGCAGUGGGGAAUAUUGGGCAAUGGGCGAAAGCCUGACGCAGCGACGCCGCGUGAGGGAUGACGGCCUUCGGGUUGUAAACCUCUUUCAGUAGGGACGAAACGAAAGUGACGGUACCUACCGAAGAAGCACCGGCCAACUACCUGCCAGCAGCCGCGGUAAUACGUAGGGUGCAAGCGGUGUCCGGAAUUAUUGGGCGUAAAGAGCUCGUAGGCGGUCUGUCGCGUCGACUGUGAAAACCCGGAGCUCAACCUCGGGCCUGCAGUCGAUACGGGCCAACUAGAGUACUGCAGGGGAGACUGGAAUUCCUGGUGUAGCGGUGAAAUGCGCAGAUAUCAGGAGGAACACCGGUGGCGAACGCAGGUCUCUGCGGCAACUGACGCUGACGAGCGAAAGCGUGGGGAGCGAACAGGAUUAGAUACCCUGGUAGUCCACGCCGUAAACGUUGGGCCCUAGGUGUGGGGGCCAUUCCACGGUCUCCGUGCCCCAGCUAACCCAUUAAGCGCCCCGCCUGGGGAGUACGGCCGCAAGGCUAAAACUCAAAGGAAUUGACGGGGGCCCGCACAAGCGGCGGAGCAUGUUGCUUAAUUCGAUGCAACGCGAAGAACCUUACCUAGGCUUGACAUGCACGGAAAUCCCGCAGAGAUGCGGGGUCCUUUAAAGGGUCGUGCACAGGUGGUGCAUGGUUGUCGUCAGCUCGUGUCGUGAGAUGUUGGGUUAAGUCCCGCAACGAGCGCAACCCUCGUUCUAUGUUGCCAGCACGUCAUGGUGGGGACUCAUAGGAGACUGCCGGGGUCAACUCGGAGGAAGGUGGGGAUGACGUCAAAUCAUCAUGCCCCUUAUGUCUAGGGCUGCAAACAUGCUACAAUGGCCGGUACAAAGGGCUGCGAUACCGCGAGGUGGAGCGAAACCCAAAAAGCCGGUCUCAGUUCGGAUUGGGGUCUGCAACUCGACCCCAUGAAGCUGGAGUCGCUUGUAAUCGCAGAUCACCAAC